GGGAAGGUGGCUCAGUGGUAGAGUGCUUGCCUUGCAUGCAUGAGGCCAUGGGUUCGAUUCCUCAGAACCA
rnacentral:tRNA from 1 species